rnacentral:rRNA from 1 species
CCUACGGGUGGCAGCAGUGAGGAAUAUUGGUCAAUGGACGAGAGUCUGAACCAGCCAAGUAGCGUGAAGGAUGACUGCCCUUUGGGUUGUAAACUUCUUUUAUAAGGGAAUAAAACGAGGCACGUGUGCCUUUUUGCAUGUACUUUAUGAAUAAGGAUCGGCUAACUCCGGGCCAGCAGCCGCGGUAAUACGGAGGAUCCGAGCGUUAUCCGGAUUUAUUGGGUUUAAAGUGAGCGUAGAUGGGUUGUUAAGUCGGUUGUGAAAGGUUGCGGCUCAACCGUCAAAUUGCAAGUGAUACUGGCAGUCUUGAGUACAGUUGAGGUAAGCGGAAUUCGUGGUGUAGCGGUGAAAUGCUUAGAUAUCGCGAAGAACACCGAUUGCGAAGGCAGCUUACUAAACUGUGACUGACAUUGAUGCUCGAAAGUGUGGGUAUCAAACAGGAUUAGAUACCCGAGUAGUC